rnacentral:rRNA from 1 species
AAUGAACGCUGGCGGCGUGCCUAACACAUGCAAGUCGAACGAGAAAGGUAGUAAUACUGAGUACAGUGGCGCACGGGUGAGUAAUACGCAGGAAUCUGCCUCUGAGUGAAGAAUACCCCCGAGAAAUCGGGGUUAAUACUGCAUAAGCUCGAAAGAGGAAAGGUGGCCUAUAAGCUACCGCUGAGAGAUGAGCCUGCGUCCUAUUAGCUAGUUGGUAGGGUAAGAGCCUACCAAGGCAAAGAUGGGUAGCCGGCCUGAGAGGGUGUCCGGCCACACUGGAACUGAGACACGGUCCAGACUCCUACGGGAGGCUG